AUUUUAAAAUUAAUAUAUUGCAAUUAAAUACUUUUGUUUCAUAUUUCUUGAUCUAUUAAAAAAAAGCUUUUCCUAAACUUAACUUGACCUUGCUAGUUCUUUUCCGUUCAGCUACCGCGAUUGGAACAUGUCUUAUUCACCUGAAAGAAGAUCGGAGGAUUGGCCGGAGGAUCCUAAAAAUGGGCCAUCAAAGGAACAAGUUAGUUUUGACGGACCACCGGGCCUGGAGCCUGGCGGCGCCCUCGACACUAACUGGCAUGAAGUCGUGGAAAGCUUCGAUGACAUGAAGUUGAAGGAGGAGCUGUUAAGGGGAAUUUACGCCUAUGGUUUUGAAAAGCCUUCGGCCAUACAGCAGCGCGCUAUUAUGCCUUGCAUCCAAGGCCGCGACGUUAUAGCUCAAGCCCAGUCGGGAACUGGCAAAACUGCCACUUUCUCGAUAUCAAUUCUACAACAAAUUGACACCACUGUACGUGAGUGUCAAGCUCUUAUUUUAGCUCCAACUAGAGAGUUGGCACAACAAAUUCAAAAGGUGGUGAUAGCUCUUGGUGACCACUUAAAUGCUAAAUGCCAUGCUUGUAUUGGUGGUACCAAUGUGCGUGAAGAUAUCCGUCAGUUGGAAAGUGGUGUUCACGUUGUGGUGGGCACUCCUGGCCGUGUAUAUGACAUGAUAACUCGUCGUGCACUGCGUGCCAAUACAAUCAAGUUGUUUGUCCUUGAUGAAGCUGAUGAGAUGUUAUCCAGAGGGUUCAAGGAUCAAAUUCAUGAUGUAUUCAAGAUGCUGUCUGCUGAUGUCCAGGUCAUACUUCUCUCUGCUACAAUGCCUGAUGAUGUGUUAGAGGUUUCCAGAUGUUUCAUGAGAGAGCCUAUCCGCAUCCUUGUGCAAAAGGAGGAGCUAACAUUGGAAGGUAUAAAGCAGUUCUUCAUAUCAAUUGAGCUUGAAGAAUGGAAAUUGGAUACACUUUGUGAUUUGUAUGAUACACUAUCCAUCGCUCAGGCUGUAAUCUUCUGCAACACACGUCGCAAGGUGGACUGGCUCACCGAGUCUAUGCACGAGCGUGAUUUUACGGUGUCGGCUAUGCACGGCGACAUGGACCAGCGCGAACGCGAAGUGAUCAUGCGGCAGUUCCGUACGGGCUCCUCCCGUGUGCUCAUCACCACCGACCUGCUGGCACGAGGCAUUGAUGUGCAACAAGUCUCGUGCGUCAUCAACUACGACCUGCCCACUAACCGCGAGAACUACAUUCAUCGGAUCGGAAGAGGUGGCCGUUUCGGUCGUAAAGGAAUCGCCAUUAAUUUUGUAACUGAAGCUGACAAGAGAGCGUUGAAGGACAUUGAGGACUUCUACCACACAACUAUUACCGAAAUGCCCAAUGACGUGGCCAACCUCAUCUAAGGCGCCGGCGCAUUCCAGUUUAUAAUUUGUGUCCUGCAUUCUAUUGCGAUAUUUAACGAAAAUCUACCAACUGAGCUGUUGAAACGCACUUUGGACACAACUAUGUGGAAAUAAUAAAUCAAAUUUCCUCUAAGUCAUUACUUUCUUUUUGCAGGUCCUUUAUGUAUCCUGUGUUCCCAUACUGCUAUUAAUUUUCUACAUGGUUUUAUGUUGCGAAUUAUUUAUAUUUUUGGAAUAAAUUUUCUUCGAAUGAUACGAAGUUGGUAAUUAAGGUUCCUAUUUUAAAGUGCGAAAACAUACUUAUUAACUACACUAAUAAUUAUAAUCUUGACAUAAAAAUAAUAAACUUAAUAUAAUUAUGUUUGUACACUAGGUACUAAAGGUAUUUUCAAACACUUCAUGUAUACCACUUGGAUUUCAAUAAUCUAUUAUCAAUUACCAUAAUAACAAUAAUUGCCCUAAAUGUUACAUAAAGGCUACAUAUUCAA